AUCAACUGCCAAAGUUAUAUAAUUCCUUACAAUCAAAAACACCUUACAAUCAUCAGCUGCUAUGUUCCAACCAUGACCAACCCAGAGAAAGUGAAGGCCAAGUUCUACGAGGACCUCCAUUCUGUCAUCUCUGAUGUUCCAAGAACAGAUAAGAUCACCAUUCUAGGCAACUUUAACGCGAGAGUCAGCAUUGACAGCUCUGCAUGGGAUGGAGUGCUAGCAAAGCACAGAGUGGAUCACUGCAACAGCAACGGUCUCCUUUUGCUUCAGACUUGUGCUGAACAUGAACUGCUGAUUACCAACACAGUAUUCCGCCUCCCAACCCGUAAUCGGACGUCAUGGAUGCACCCUCGCUCAAAGCAUUGGCAUAUCAUCGACUACGUCAUCGUCAGGAAGAGAGACAGGCAGGAUGUACGCGUGACCAAGUCCAUGUGUGGAGCCGAAUUCUGGACAGACCACCGUCUCAUUAUGACCAAGCUCAACAUACGCAUCCAGCCAAAUAGACGUCCGCAGGGGAAAAAGGCCCCUAAACGUCUAAAUAUUACAAAGUUGAAGUACGGUAAAUCCAAGCAGUCUUUUAAGGAUGCCUUGGGUGAUCGUCUGGAAUCCACCUCUCUGGACAGCCAGAAUGUGGAAGCUGACUGGGCAGCUCUCAGAGAACUGGUCUACGACACAGCUACUGAAAUUCUGGGUCUUUCAACGAGAAAGAUUGGUUUGAUGAGAACAGCGAAAACAUUAAGCAGUUGCUGAAACACCGUCUCCAUCAAACCUACCUCAACAACCCUUCGACCACCUCCAAGAAAGAUGCGUACAAAAAUGUACACAGAUUGGUACAGCAGAGACUCCGCCAGAUACAAGACACAUGGCUGAGCAACAAAGCUUAUGAGAUCCAAGGUUAUGCAGACAGGCAUGACAUGAGAUUCUAUGACGCUUUGAAAGAAGUGUACGGACCCACAUCAUCAGGCUCAUGAUCCCCAUUGAUACCCAUCAACGAAGCACUGGAUGAUCCUGCAACCUUGCUUGAGAAUCAAGGCCAAGUAUGGAUGCCCAAGGAAAUUCAUAGCCAUGGUGCAGCAGUUCCAUGACGGCAUGCAGGCAAGAGUCCAAGACAACAGAGAAGCAUCUCAGCCACUCCCAGUUUCCAGUGGCGUCAAGCAGGGUUGUGACCCUGUUCAGCCUCAUGUUCUCCGCAAUGCUGACUGAUGCCUUUAGAGGUGGUGUUGUUGGGAUAGGCAUCAAGUACCACACAGAUGGUAAUCUGUUCAACCCCAGGAGGGGUUCUCCUGGGAACAGACUGCAUUGGAUCAUGACGCCUGGUGCUCCUCCAUCCCCAAGGGCUCUUUGCUGUGUGAGACAAAUCGGACAGCUGCAGCCGAACGAAAGAAGAAAGCCAAAAAAAACCGUGCCAACAACCCUUCCGGAGACGUCCACCUCAUCCCCUGCCCCACCUGCCACAGGACAUUCCGUGCAAAGAUUGGCCUGACCAGCCAUAUACGCACGCAUUAUCUCUGAUGACAAAAUGGUCUUUGUCGCUAUGACGGAUAACCAAGACCUAUUCUGUGGGAUCAGACCAGAUGGGCUACCCUUCGUUCCUCAUGUGUAUCAAUAAGCUUUGGGUGCUCAUGAGCCUGUCCCUAGUUCACUUAUUGUUCUUCCUUCGACCAAUUUUGGUAGGUACUAUUUACAUGGUUAAAUUACUUGGUUUAACCAUGAUGGGGCAGUGGUGGCUUGGUGGUUAAGGCUCUGGGUUACUGAUCAGAAGGUCAGGGUUCAAGCCACAGCACUGCCAAGCUACCACUGUUGGACACUUGAGCAACGCCCUUAACCCUCUCUGUUCCAGGGGUGCUGUAUCAUGGCUGACCCCAACUUCCUGACAUGCUGGGGUAUGCGAAGAAAAGAAUUUCGCUGUGCAUAUGUAUAUGUGACCAAUAAAGACUCAUUAUUAUGAUGACCAUCUUCAUGUCAAUGCACACAGCAAAUAGUUAUGUUUAUGGAAACCUCAAGGUCUCAACUGAGGAUAGUCCUAGAUCCUUGGAACAAAAACUAGAGCACAUUACAAGUUUCCUUGGUGCCAGAAGGGUAUUUCCAGUACCAUGCGGUGUGAAUUGAAGACCAUUCCACUCAUAGAGUUUCAUCAUAGCGACAAUUUGUAAAGGUAUACAAAGAGAUGAAUUCCUGAAAGACCUGGCAAACACCACCAUGGCUAUUUGUGUCAUUAGAAAGGAAGGAGGAGAUCUUGGACACUUUUGAAUUGUUGUUGAUGGGGUCAUAAUUCUUGACCACAUCAGAUGUGUUGUAGUGAUGCGGGGUGCAAUCUAUGUCUUUAAUUUGGCAUACCCAAAAGAGCUCAAAUACUACUAUGCAUUUAUUCAGAAAGUCCUUAUGCAGAUGAAUUCUGAAAGGUUCUUCCCUAAAAUUCUAGGACUAAAAAACUAAAUAAGUGCUGUAAUUUUACUACAGGCACUGAUGUUCAGGUUCAUACUAUACAAACUGCAAUUUGUUACCUGAAAUGUCAGCACUUUGUUGUUAACUGUUGCUAUAACUAUAUUGUGGCUGGUUACUUAUGUGGCCAAUUUAACAAUUGUAUAGUCUAAGCACUGUUGUUUCAAUGAUGUACAAACAAAUAUUAUGUAGCGUUUUUCCACCAUUGAAUUCUUUCUGUUUCUUUACUUUUUCUGGUUAUUUUAUGAAUGUGCAGUUUGUUCUUAUAAAUGUCUGAAGUUUUUUAGAACCAUUUAUUUAUGAGCUAUAAACGUUAGUAACCUGUGAAAGUGGGCCUUAAUGUAAAGUGGAAGCCUGUGAACCAUUUAUACAUGAGUUAUAAACAGGUGUCCACUUUACAUUAAUGGCUCACUAUUUGGCAGGUAUUGCAUUAGAGUGACCCUUUUUAUUCAUGUAGUUACAACUGCCUAUCAAUUAUGCAUAUUGCACUUGUAAAUGAGUUAUUAUGUUACAUUAUAUAUAUAAUAUAAUGAAUAUACAGUAUCUGACAAAAGUGAGUGCACCCCUCAAAUUUUUGUAAAUAUUUGAUUAUACCUUUUCAUGGGACAACACUGAAGAAAUGACACUUUGCUACAAUGUAAAGUAGUGAGUGUACAGCUUGUGUAACAGUGUAACAGCACAUGGGAGCUGUCACUCCUCUUUUACCAAUCAGGUGUUUGGUCAUUUCAGUAAUGGUCUCCACGUUGUCUUCUAAAUGUGGCUAGAUACACAACUUUGUGGAGUUCUGUUUAAUAUUUUACAAUUGUUUGUACUGCCCCUAUCACCUUGCACAGUGGUUCCUGUCAGUUAAAUGUAAUGUCUAUAGUCGGUGUGUCUGCUAUACUGCCUGUGUAGUUAUUAUGCAUCUGUAAAUAACUUUCAAUGCAAUAAUUUAAUUUGAUUUAAUUUAUUAUGAAUAACAAACUCUUCAUUAGGAAACUACAUUGUUUAAGGCUGUUCUAUUCAUUAGGAUAUUUAUAUAGGAACUGUUGUUAUUAAGUAAGUUACAUUAGAUAAUGAUUCCCACUUUAAGCCAGUAUACAAUUUCAUACUGGUAUCGUCCCUGUUGACCGUAUACAGUGGCACACCUAAGCUGUACCACGGCCUGCUAUGGAAACUGCAUUCUGUCUCGGAGCUCAGGACCCUACCACAGAUAGUAAAAACCACUGGAAACAUCAUCAGGGUCUCUCUUACCUCCACUAAGGAGGUAACAGAAAAUAGGAAUCUAUAAAGCCAUCCACUUUGCUAAAGUGCGCUAAACCACUGUGCUAAAAUGGCACCAUUUCACAUAUAUACAGUGGAUAUAAAAAGCCUACACACCCCUGUUAAAAUGGCAUGUUUUUGUGAUUUAAACAAAGUCAACCAAGAUAAAGUA